GAUGAACGCUAGCGGCAGGCCUAACACAUGCAAGUCGAGGGGUAGAUAUCUUCGGAUAUUGAGACCGGCGCACGGGUGCGUAACGCGUAUGCAAUCUACCUUGUACAGAGGGAUAGCCCAGAGAAAUUUGGAUUAAUACCUCAUAGUAUUAUUGAAUGGCAUCAUUUAAUAAUUAAAGUUCCAACGGUACAAGAUGAGCAUGCGUCCUAUUAGCUAGUUGGUGUGGUAACGGCAUACCAAGGCUACGAUAGGUAGGGGUCCUGAGAGGGAGAUCCCCCACACUGGUACUGAGACACGGACCAGACUCCUACGGGAGGCAGCAGUGAGGAAUAUUGGACAAUGGGCGCAAGCCUGAUCCAGCCAUGCCGCGUGCAGGAAGACGCAUCUAUGGUGUGUAAACUGCUUUUGUACGGGAAGAAACACUCCCUCGUGAGGGAGCUUGACGGUACCGUAAGAAUAAGGAUCGGCUAACUCCGUGCCAGCCGCCGCCGUAACAC
rnacentral:rRNA from 1 species